rnacentral:rRNA from 1 species
GUGGGGAAUAUUGGGCAAUGGGCGGAAGCCUGACCCAGCGACGCCGCGUGGGGGAAGAAGUCUUUCGGGAUGUAAACCCUUGUUGUACGGGACGAAGGAAGUGACGGUACCAUGGGAGGAAGCCCCGGCUAACUACGUGCCAGCAGCCGCGGUAAGACGUAGGGGGCAAGCGUUGUCCGGAAUUACUGGGCGUAAAGGGUGCGUAGGCGGCAAUGCAAGUCUAAUGUGAAAUCCCCGUGCUUAACAUGGGGAUUGCAAUAGAAACUGUAUAGCUAGAGUGCAGGAGAGGUAAGUGGAAUUCCUAGUGUAGCGGUGAAAUGCAUAGAUAUUAGGAGGAACACCAGUGGCGAAGGCGACUUACUGGACUGUAACUGACGCUGAAGCACGAAAGCGUGGGGAGCGAACAGGAUUAGAAACCCGGGUAGUCC